AUAGCGUAUAUUAAAGUUGUUGCAGUUAAAAAGCUCGUAGUUGAACCUUGGGCCUGGCUGGCCGGUCCGCCUCACCGCGUGCACUGGUCUGGCCGGGCCUUUCCUUCUGGCUAGCCACAUGCGCUUUACUGGGUGUGUUGGGGAACCAGGACUUUUACUUUGAAAAAAUUAGAGUGUUCAAAGCAGGCAUUGGCUCGAAUACAUUAGCAUGGAAUAAUAGAAUAGGACGUGUGGUUCUAUUUUGUUGGUUUCUAGGACCAUCGUAAUGAUUAAUAGGGAUAGUCGGGGGCAUCAGUAUUCAAUCGUCAGAGGUGAAAUUCUUGGAUCGAUUGAAGACUAACUACUG
rnacentral:rRNA from 1 species